UCACCCCUCAAGCCCCGUGCUUGGUGUUGGACGGCCGGCCGAGCGAUCGACCCCUCCGAAAGACAAUGACGGCGGCCUGUGGUUCCCCCGGUACACUGAGCUUUUCACCGAGCACGUACCGGACCAGGGCACCCGGGACCCGGUCCUCUCCUUUCACUAGGAAACUUCUAU
rnacentral:misc_RNA from 1 species